UAGCCGCGGUAAUACCAGCUCUCCGAGUGGGUGUGGAUGUUUUAUUGGGCUUAAAGCAUCCGUAGCUGGCUGAGUAAGUCCCCUGUUAAAUCCAGCGAUUCAAUCGUUGGCUUUGCGGGGGGAUACUGUUCGGGCUUGGAGGCGGGGAGAGGCCGGCGGUAUUCUCGGGGUAGGGGUGAAAUCCUAUAAUCCCGGGGAAGACCACCAGUGGCGAAAGGC
rnacentral:rRNA from 1 species